rnacentral:precursor_RNA from 15 species
GCAACAGAGCUAACCAUGAGCAGCUGCCCCUGCACCCAGGGAUAGGAUAGCGGUUCACUUGGAAGCCCCCUUUUCUAUCCCUGGUACUGGCGCCGCUGCUACCACCACCACUGCUACCUC